rnacentral:rRNA from 1 species
AAAGCUGAGGAAAAGAAACCAACAGGGAUUGCCUCAGUAACGGCGAGUGAAGCGGCAAAAGCUCAAAUUUGAAAUCUAGCACCUUCGGUGUUCGAGUUGUAAUUUGAAGAUGGUAACCUUGGGUUUGGCUCUUGUCUAUGUUCCUUGGAACAGGACGUCAUAGAGGGUGAGAAUCCCGUCUGAUGAGAUGCCCAUUCCUAUGUAAGGUGCUAUCGAAGAGUCGAGUUGUUUGGGAAUGCAGCUCUAAGUGGGUGGUAAAUUCCAUCUAAAGCUAAAUAUUGGCGAGAGACCGAUAGCGAACAAGUACAGUGAUGGAAAGAUGAAAAGAACUUUGAAAAGAGAGUGAAAAAGUACGUGAAAUUGUUGAAAGGGAAGGGCAUUAGAUCAGACUUGGUGUUUUACGAUUAUCUUCUCUUCUUGAGUUGUGCACUCGUAUUUCACUGGGCCAGCAUCGAUUCGGAUGGCAAGAUAAUGGCAGUUGAAUGUGGCUUCACUUCGGUGGAGUGUUAUAGCUUCUGCUGAUAUUGCCUGUCUGGAUCGAGGGCUGCGUCUUUGACUAGGAUGC